GAUGAACGCUGGCGGUAUGCCUAACACAUGCAAGUCGUACGAGAGUUUUUAACUCUAGUGGCGGACGGGUGAGUAACACGUGAGAAUUUGCCUUUAGAGGGGAUAACAAUUGGAAACGAAUGCUAAUACCCCAUAUGCUUUUGAGUGAAACGGAUUUAUCCGCCUAGAGAGAAGCUCGCGGCUGAUUAGCUUGUUGGUAAGGUAAGAGCUUACCAAGGCGACGAUCAGUAUCUGGUUUGAGAGGACGAUCAGACACACUGGAACUGAGACACGGUCCAGACUCCUACGGGAGGCAGCAGUGGGGAAUUUUCCGCAAUGGGCGAAAGCCUGACGGAGCAAUACCGCGUGAGGGAAGAAUGCCUAUGGGUUGUAAACCUCUUUUUCAGGGAGGAAUAAAAUGACGUGUACCUGAAGAAUAAGCAUCGGCUAACUCCGUG
rnacentral:rRNA from 1 species